rnacentral:rRNA from 1 species
GCUUGUCUCAAAGAUUAAGCCAUGCAUGUCUAAGUAUAAACGAUUUUAUACGUGAAACUGCGAAUGGCUCAUUAUAUCAGUUAUAGUUUAUUUGAUGGUCCUUACUACUUGGAUAACCGUAGUAAUUCUAGAGCUAAUACAUGCAUCAAGCCCUGACUUCGGAAGGGGUGUAUUUAUUAGAUAAAAAACCAACGCCCUUCGGGGCUUCUUGGUGAUUCAUGAUAACUUCACGGAUCGCAUGGCCUUGCGCCGGCGACGGUUCAUUCAAAUUUCUGCCCUAUCAACUUUCGAUGGUAAGGUAUUGGCUUACCAUGGUUUCAACGGGUAACGGGGAAUUAGGGUUCGAUUCCGGAGAGGGAGCCUGAGAAACGGCUACCACAUCCAAGGAAGGCAGCAGG